rnacentral:lncRNA from 1 species
UCACUAGCUUAUGUGAACUUAUAUCCUUUCUGAAUAUGAACUUCUCCUCACAAUCUAGACUAGUCGCGCCAUCGCGUUUUCUCUGGGUUGACAUUUAGAAAAUAUAUGCUGAUAGUGAUACUGGAACAUUUGUUUCCUUUCAACUUCCACAGGCAUGCAUGAGCAUGCUUUACACAAACACCUAGCAUGAAAGGAUUGCAAAGACUCCAGAGAUGAGCCUGACAUCCAUUUUCUUCCUCUCUUUUUUCCAUUGUUGAUGCUGCUAAACUAGAGCGUCUUCCGGUCAAAGAAGACAGGCCUGCAGUUCAAACAUCAAUUCAAUUCUUUCAUAAGCAAAAUACAGAAACAUUUUUGCAGUUAGUUUUAGUGCAAAUUUGGAGAAGUUCAAAUCCUCCAGCAGAGAAGAUAUUUGUGAAGAAAGAGAGGUCAGGGAGAGGGAGGGAGUGAGAUCGGGGAAGAGAAGUAGAAGCAAUACCUGCAACAUUGGCGUCCGUCGACUGUCGCCAUGGUCAGAGUUAGGUUGGCGCCG